UUUUUUUUUUCCUUUUUCUUGUAGAUGCCAUCAUGUAAUGAUAUUCGUAAUGUUCAUGGAAUGCUGCGAACUGUCUCUCUCUUCAUUCUCCGACGAGAAUGAUCCUCUAUUAUAUAAUGUAUUAUUUGUUUUGCUUAAGGGUUAUUGUUUUCUAAAGUUAUUUAUGUGUACCAACACUAGAUUAUGUGAAUGUGCUUUUGUUUUUUAUUAGGCCUUGAUGUCUUGUUAUAAAACGGCCUUUGAUUUGUCAUGUAUUCAAGUUUUUUAAUUUGAUUUCGUGUUUUGGAAUAUUUAU
rnacentral:lncRNA from 1 species